CAGCUGAAAAGCAUGGUGCCACCAAUCCUUGCACUUCAAGUUCCCGUUUGCCUCAUUGGGAGUCCAGCCAACUUGCUGUCUGUUGUUUAGUGUGGGCGAGGAGAUGGGAGGAAAGAACUGGGUGAUGGGAGGGUAGGAGGACAAAGAGACACUGUGGGGAGUGGAAAUUUCAUUGAAGGGGGCGAAGGAGGGGAGAGUGAGAAACAAGACUCUUGAUGGGGGAAAAAUGCAGCUUCAGAGGUCUCUUGGAGAAGUCCCUGAAGAUGAUCAAAAGAUAUACAACAGGAAGGAGGAGGAAGAGAAAAGAAGAACAGCAAUAUGAGAAACCAGGAGAAGAAAACACAGUGACCACAACAAUGUGAAAGAAAACAACAUUCAAAGAUAUAGGCCUCUUGUAUGUAUAUGCAGUGGUUGAUCACAACUUAGAAGAUGGAUCAUAAAUCAGGCUUCUUAUCUUUUGGCAGACAUAGAGUCCCCUGAGACUCAUUCAUCCUAGGGCUUCUCUUUAUACUAUCUCACUUGGUGAGCUCAUUACUUCCU
rnacentral:lncRNA from 1 species